CAGCCGCCGCGGGAAUACGGAGGGUGCAAGCGUUAUCCGGAUUUAUUGGGUUUAAAGGGUCCGUAGGCGGAUCUGUAAGUCAGUGGUGAAAUCUCACAGCUUAACUGUGAAACUGCCAUUGAUACUGCAGGUCUUGAGUAAAUUUGAAGUGGCUGGAAUAAGUAGUGUAGCGGUGAAAUGCAUAGAUAUUACUUAGAACACCAAUUGCGAAGGCAGGUCACUAAGAUUUAACUGACGCUGAUGGACGAAAGCGUGGGGAGCGAACAGGAUUAGAUACCCCGGUAGUCCCUGUCUCUUAUAU
rnacentral:rRNA from 1 species